ACCUGAUUGGCUCAGUCAGUGGAGCGUGCAACUUUUGAUCUCAGUGUCAUGAGUUCGAGCCCCAUAUCAAGCA
rnacentral:tRNA from 1 species